UUAGAGUUUGAAUCCUGGCUCAGAUUGAACGCUGGCGGCAGGCUUAACACAUGCAAGUCGAGCGGUAACAGGGGAGCUUGCUCCUGCUGACGAGCGGCGGACGGGUGAGUAAUGUCUGGGGAUCUGCCCUAGUGAGGGGAAUAACCACUGGAAACGGUGGCUAAUGCCGCAUAACGUCGCAAGACCAAAGUGGGGGACUUUCGNGCCUCACGCACUAGGAUGAACCCAGAUGAGAUUAGCUAGUUGGUGAGGUAACGGCUCACCAAGGCGACGAUCUCUAGCUGGUCUGAGAGGAUGAUCAGCCACACUGGGACUGAGACACGGCCCAGACUCCUACGGGAGGCAGCAGUGGGGAAUAUUGGACAAUGGGGGCAACCCUGAUCCAGCCAUGCCGCGUGUGUGAAGAAGGCCUUCGGGUUGUAAAGCACUUUCAUUGGUGAGGAAGGAUGUUAAGUUAAUACCUUAAUAUAUUGACGUUAACCAAAGAAGAAGCACCGGCUAACUCCGUGCCAGCAGCCGCGGUAAUACGGAGGGUGCGAGCGUUAAUCGGAAUUACUGGGCGUAAAGGGCAUGCAGGCGGUUACAUAAGUCAGGUGUGAAAUCCCCGCGCUUAACGUGGGCAUUGCAUUUGAAACUAUGUAGCUAGAGUUCUGUAGAGGGGGGUAGAAUUCCAGGUGUAGCGGUGAAAUGCGUAGAGAUCUGGAGGAAUACCGAUUGCGAAGGCAGCCCCCUGGACAGUGAACUGACGCUCAUAUGCGAAAAGCGUGGGUCAA
rnacentral:rRNA from 1 species